ACUCUGCUGGUGAUUCAACAGCACCACUUCCUCUAUUUGGACGAGUCUCCUUGAUAUCAGUGACAUUCGUGUCUACAGCUCUCAUGUACCAACAUGAUCCGAGGCCUCUUCAUCCAGCUGAUUCUAAUACCACUCUGGGUUAAAGGACAAAGUAAUGAAGUUCAACAGAAUAUUCGGGAGCUGUUAAAAGCCCAAGGAGAGAAUGUGUCAUUGAACUGCCAACAUCAAAUUCCAAACUUCAACUUGAUUUUGUGGUACAAGCAAACUGUUCAAGGCUCUACCCUUGAUCUCAUUGGAUUUGUGUACAGCACCUCAGUAACUGUUGAAAAGCCGUAUACUAAACUCUUCAACGUGACUGGGGAUGGUAGAAAAGAAAGCACUCUUCAUUUUCUGAAACCGAUCCAAGUUGAAGACAGUGCUGUGUAUUACUGCGCUGCCAGUAAAGCACAAUGCUACAGGUCCCCUUGCUGCCUUACAAUAACCCCAGGAGUGUCUGACACCUGUGUUAAACCACUUCAACUGUCUCUGAAUGAAACUAGAACAUUGUCCCAAAGGGCAACAAUGGGCAGUUCUCCAAAUGACACUGUUGCAGUUCUGUGAACAUCCAGAUGGGUGCACCAGCUCCCUCUAAUAACUAGGGGUGUGCUCUCAUGAUGGCAGGCUGUCACCUCAUUCUAGAGGGGUUGAGUCAACAUGAGCAAGGCUAAUCUCUUUUCUCUGUCAGUUCUCUGGCUAACAGGUAUAAA